GCUUUUGCUGUCCUUAACUCUGGAGGCCAGGGAUACAUCUCAAAGGAGAAAAAUGUUUGCCUUUGAAUUUGAAAAGACUGUGAAGCCUCUAGGACAAGGCCACCGGAGCUACCUUCUGCACCACAAUAGGUAUUGAAUGUAUCCUUUCACAAACUCUCCCACCCAAUGUGCCAAAAAUAAUGUUUGAUUCGACUGCAAUCUUUUUUUCUGUGCACAAAGAACCAGCU
rnacentral:lncRNA from 1 species